rnacentral:rRNA from 1 species
UUGAACGCUGGCGGCAGGCCUAACACAUGCAAGUCGAACGGUAACAGGAAGAAGCUUGCUUCUUUGCUGACGAGUGGCGGACGGGUGAGUAAUGUCUGGGAAACUGCCUGAUGGAGGGGGAUAACUACUGGAAACGGUAGCUAAUACCGCAUAACGUCGCAAGACCAAAGAGGGGGACCUUCGGGCCUCUUGCCAUCGGAUGUGCCCAGAUGGGAUUAGCUAGUAGGUGGGGUAACGGCUCACCUAGGCGACGAUCCCUAGCUGGUCUGAGAGGAUGACCAGCCACACUGGAACUGAGACACGGUCCAGACUCCUACGGGAGGCAGCAGUGGGGAAUAUUGCACAAUGGGCGCAAGCCUGAUGCAGCCAUGCCGCGUGUAUGAAGAAGGCCUUCGGGUUGUAAAGUACUUUCAGCGGGGAGGAAGGGAGUAAAGUUAAUACCUUUGCUCAUUGACGUUACCCGCAGAAGAAGCACCGGCUAACUCCGUGCCAGCAGCCGCGGUAAUACGGAGGGUGCAAGCGUUAAUCGGAAUUACUGGGCGUAAAGCGCACGCAGGCGGUUUGUUAAGUCAGAUGUGAAAUCCCCGGGCUCAACCUGGGAACUGCAUCUGAUACUGGCAAGCUUGAGUCUCGUAGAGGGGGGUAGAAUUCCAGGUGUAGCGGUGAAAUGCGUAGAGAUCUGGAGGAAUACCGGUGGCGAAGGCGGCCCCCUGGACGAAGACUGCCGCUCAGGUGCGAAAGCGUGGGGAGCAAACAGGAUUAGAUACCCUGGUAGUCCACGCCGUAAACGAUGUCGACUUGGAGGUUGUGCCCUUGAGGCGUGGCUUCCGGAGCUAACGCGUUAAGUCGACCGCCUGGGGAGUACGGCCGCAAGGUUAAAACUCAAAUGAAUUGACGGGGGCCCGCACAAGCGGUGGAGCAUGUGGUUUAAUUCGAUGCAACGCGAAGAACCUUACCUGGUCUUGACAUCCACGGAAGUUUUCAGAGAUGAGAAUGUGCCUUCGGGAACCGUGAGACAGGUGCUGCAUGGCUGUCGUCAGCUCGUGUUGUGAAAUGUUGGGUUAAGUCCCGCAACGAGCGCAACCCUUAUCCUUUGUUGCCAGCGGUCCGGCCGGGAACUCAAAGGAGACUGCCAGUGAUAAACUGGAGGAAGGUGAGGAUGACGUCAAGUCAUCAUGGCCCUUACGACCAGGGCUACACACGUGCUACAAUGGCGCAUACAAAGAGAAGCGACCUCGCGAGAGCAAGCGGACCUCAUAAAGUGCGUCGUAGUCCGGAUUGGAGUCUGCAACUCGACUCCAUGAAGUCGGAAUCGCUAGUAAUCGUGGAUCAGAAUGCCACGGUGAAUACGUUCCCGGGCCUUGUACACACCGCCCGUCACACCAUGGGAGUGGGUUGCAAAAGAAGUAGGUAGCUUAACCUUCGGGAGGGCGCUUACCACUUUGUGAUUCAUGACUGGGGUG